rnacentral:rRNA from 1 species
UACGAAGGGGGCUAGCGUUGCUCGGAAUCACUGGGCGUAAAGCGCACGUAGGCGGACUCUUAAGUCGGUGGUGAAAUCCUGGAGCUCAACUCCAGAACUGCCUUCGAUACUGGGAGUCUCGAGUCCGAGAGAGGUGAGUGGAACUGCGAGUGUAGAGGUGAAAUUCGUAGAUAUUCGCAAGAACACCAGUGGCGAAGGCGGCUCACUGGCUCGGUACUGACGCUGAGGUGCGAAAGCGUGGGGAGCAAACGGG